rnacentral:rRNA from 1 species
UUCCCUUAGUAGCGGCGAGCGAAACGGGAAGAGCCCAAACCAACAAGCUUGCUUGUUGGGGUUGUAGGACACUCUAUACGGAGUUACAAAGGACGACAUUAGACGAAUCAUCUGGAAAGAUGAAUCAAAGAAGGUAAUAAUCCUGUAGUCGAAAAUGUUGUCUCUCUUGAGUGGAUCCUGAGUACGACGGAGCACGUGAAAUUCCGUCGGAAUCUGGGAGGACCAUCUCCUAAGGCUAAAUACUCUCUAGUGACCGAUAGUGAACCAGUACCGUGAGGGAAAGGUGAAAAGCACCCCGGAAGGGGAGUGAAAUAGAACCUGAAACCGUGUGCUUACAAGUAGUCAGAGCCCGUUAAUGGGUGAUGGCGUGCCUUUUGUAGAAUGAACCGGCGAGUUACGAUUUGAUGCAAGGUUAAGCAGUAAAUGUGGAGCCGUAGCGAAAGCGAGUCUGAAUAGGGCGUUUAGUAUUUGGUCGUAGACCCGAAACCAGGUGAUCUACCCUUGGUCAGGUUGAAGUUCAGGUAACACUGAAUGGAGGACCGAACCGACUUACGUUGAAAAGUGAGCGGAUGAACUGAGGGUAGCGGAGAAAUUCCAAUCGAACCUGGAGAUAGCUGGUUCUCUCCGAAAUAGCUUUAGGGCUAGCCUCAAGUGAUGAUUAUUGGAGGUAGAGCACUGUUUGGACGAGGGGCCCCUCUCGGGUUACCGAAUUCAGACAAACUCCGAAUGCCAAUUAAUUUAACUUGGGAGUCAGAACAUGGGUGAUAAGGUCCGUGUUCGAAAGGGAAACAGCCCAGACCACCAGCUAAGGUCCCAAAAUAUAUGUUAAGUGGAAAAGGAUGUGGCGUUGCCCAGACAACUAGGAUGUUGGCUUAGAAGCAGCCAUCAUUUAAAGAGUGCGUAAUAGCUCACUAGUCGAGUGACACUGCGCCGAAAAUGUACCGGGGCUAAACAUAUUACCGAAGCUGUGGAUUGUCCUUUGGACAAUGGUAGGAGAGCGUUCUAAGGGCGUUGAAGCAUGAUCGUAAGGACAUGUGGAGCGCUUAGAAGUGAGAAUGCCGGUGUGAGUAGCGAAAGACGGGUGAGAAUCCCGUCCACCGAUUGACUAAGGUUUCCAGAGGAAGGCUCGUCCGCUCUGGGUUAGUCGGGUCCUAA